rnacentral:rRNA from 1 species
GAUGAACGCUGGCGGCGUGCCUAACACAUGCAAGUCGAACGAGAAGUUAACCUCUGAUUCCUUCGGGAUGAGGAGGUUAGCAGAAAGUGGCGAACGGGUGAGUAACGCGUGGGUAAUCUACCCUGUAAGUGGGGGAUAACCCUCCGAAAGGAGGGCUAAUACCGCAUAAUAUCUUCACUUCUAAAAGAAGAGAAGAUUAAAGAUGGCCUCUGUCUUAAGCUAUCACUUCAGGAUGAGCCUGCGUCCUAUUAGUUAGUUGGUGGGGUAAUGGCCUACCAAGACCACAAUGGGUAGCCGGUCUGAGAGGAUGUACGGCCACACUGGGACUGAGAUACGGCCCAGACUCCUACGGGAGGCAGCAGUGGGGAAUAUUGCGCAAUGGGGGAAACCCUGACGCAGCGACGCCGCGUGGAUGAUGAAGGCCUUUGGGUUGUAAAAUCCUGUUUUGGGGGAAGAAACCUUAAGGGUCCAAUAAACCC